GACGAACGCUGGCGGCGUGCCUAAUACAUGCAAGUAGAACGCUGAAGAGAGGAGCUUGCUCUUCUUGGAUGAGUUGCGAACGGGUGAGUAACGCGUAGGUAACCUGCCUUGUAGCGGGGGAUAACUAUUGGAAACGAUAGCUAAUACCGCAUAACAAUGGAUGACACAUGUCAUUUAUUUGAAAGGGGCAAUUGCUCCACUACAAGAUGGACCUGCGUUGUAUUAGCUAGUAGGUGAGGUAAUGUCUCACCUAGGCGACGAUACAUAGCCGACCUGAGAGGGUGAUCGGCCACACUGGGACUGAGUCACGGCCCAGACUCCUACGGGAGGCAGCAGUAGGGAAUCUUCGGCAAUGGGGGCAACCCUGACCGAGCAACGCCGCGUGAGUGAAGAAGGUUUUCGGAUCGUAAAGCUCUGUUGUAAGUCAAGAACGGGUGUGAGAGUGGAAAGUUCACACUGUGACGGUAGCUUACCAGAAAGGGACGGCUAACUACGUG
rnacentral:rRNA from 1 species